UCAGGAGCCUGAGGAUCGUCAGCACGGCCGCGCUGGGGGUCCCGGGGGGCAGCGCGCUGGUGCUGGGGGAGGCGGCUCAGCGCAGGGAGACGGUGCUGGAAAUCAUCCAGGCCAAGCGGGUGCCCGUCUCCCUGUGGAUCCUGGUGGGCAGCAUCCUGGGGGGGCUGCUCCUGCUGGCGCUCAUCAUCUUCUGCCUGUGGAGGCUCGGCUUCUUCACCCGCAAGAAGCUCCCGGAGGAGAAGGAGGAGAAGGAGGAGCAGUGAGCCCAGCGGCGGCCCCGCGCUUCCCGGCUCUCUCCAGCCCCAGCGGCCCCCCGAGCCCGGCACCAUGGGGAGGGGACGGGUCCCU